rnacentral:rRNA from 1 species
GGAAACAGAUGCUAAUACCGCAUAACAACUUGGACCGCAUGGUCCGAGCUUGAAAGAUGGCUUCGGCUAUCACUUUUGGAUGGUCCCGCGGCGUAUUAGCUAGAUGGUGGGGUAACGGCUCACCAUGGCAAUGAUACGUAGCCGACCUGAGAGGGUAAUCGGCCACAUUGGGACUGAGACACGGCCCAAACUCCUACGGGAGGCAGCAGUAGGGAAUCUUCCACAAUGGACGAAAGUCUGAUGGAGCAACGCCGCGUGAGUGAAGAAGGGUUUCGGCUCGUAAAACUCUGUUGUUAAAGAAGAACAUAUCUGAGAGUAACUGUUCAGGUAUUGACGGUAUUUAACCAGAAAGCCACGGCUAACUACGUGCCAGCAGCCGCGGUAAUACGUAGGUGGCAAGCGUUGUCCGGAUUUAUUGGGCGUAAAGCGAGCGCAGGCGGUUUUUUAAGUCUGAUGUGAAAGCCUUCGGCUCAACCGAAGAAGUGCAUCGGAAACUGGGAAACUUGAGUGCAGAAGAGGACAGUGGAACUCCAUGUGUAGCGGUGAAAU